rnacentral:piRNA from 1 species
UGCCAUUUUCUCACAGAGGCCUUUGGAG